rnacentral:misc_RNA from 1 species
AGCGAACUGGCUUCAGAUAUAAAACCGAAAAACAAGAGGAUGGGCUAAUAAACAAAUGAUGCAAAUUAGAAUAAGACAACGAAGUAUAUGAACUAAUUAUUAGAUGAACUUUUAAGAUGGAUCUCUACGGCUGGACAGAACUGACCAGAGCAGUCUGUGGUGGGGACGUAAAUGAAGUCAGGAUGUUGCUAAAAGAGGGCGCUAACCCUGAUCAGAAAAAUGCAGCGGGAAAUAUGCCGUUGAUUUACGCCUCGAUGGGAGGUCAGGUUGAUAUGUUAAAGGUGCUACUUCCAGUAACAAGCAAUGUUAAUGCGACUAGUCAUAAACAAUGGACGGCAUUACACUGGUGCGCGUCCUUAGGGUACUCCAACUGUCUGGAACAUUUACUCCAAUCUGGGGCUGAUCCAAAUAUAAUGGAUAACUGUGGAGAGAUUCCCCUCCAAAAGGCGAUGAUAUGUAAAAAUGUGUCAAUACGAGCGGCCCGUGCGCUGAUUCAAGCCAACUCUAGACUGGAUUUACUUCAUUUCGAUUCACAAAGUAUUGGAGAUGAUAAUCUCGGGAAUGACGUUUGGCAUAAGAGGACGGCCAUUUUGGAAAUGUUGACAUAUGUCCGAUGUCCACCACGUAUUAUCAAAGAACUGAUUUCAAUGGGAUAUGUGCCCCAGAAUUUCAUUGCCAAUAACAUACAUCUCAAACAAUUAUUUGUGGCGAUUCACGAAAAAAUGUCAUCAUCAUGGACUUUGGCGGAACUCUGUCGAUACCAUAUAAGGAAACCAUUGAUUCAGAAACGAGGAUCUAAUGUGCCAAGUUUGAUUGACAAAAUGGAUAUACCACGCCCAUUAAAGAAUUAUGUUUCAUUCAGAGAACUUAACAUUUACGAGAGCAGCUAUAACCCUGAAGAAAUGGACGUGUGGUAGAUCACCAUAUGCUGAACAAGGAAUAGUAUAUUACUGCACUAAAGGAGUAAAGGGGUAACAAAGACUAGAUGUAAUUUGAGAGUACUUCUCUAAAAAAUGAAAAGUUUCUCAUAAUGUUCCUCUCUUAUUAAAAAUGUGAACAUUCAGUUGAAAUGUGCAAUCUAACAAGGAUAAGCCUUUAAGGCAAUCUAAAGCAUGUUAGCCACCAAGGAAACAUUACGGGUAAACGCCUUUAAGGAAUGUGACAUGAUUGUGUAAGCCUUUAAGGAAAUUACAUGUGCAAUUCUUUAACGAAAUGUGACAUGCACAAAUCUUUAAGGAAAUGUAACAUGCGCAAUUCUUAAAGAAAAUGUUACACAUGCAAUUCUUAAAGAAAAUGUUACACGUGCAAUUCAUUAAGGAAAUGCAACAUACCCAAUUCUUUAAGGAAAGGUGACAUGCGCAAUUCUUUAAGGAAAUGUUACAUGUACAAGCCUUUAUGGAAACCUUUAAGACAGGCACCAUAGAUUUCAGGGUAUUAGCUGAAUGUGUAAUCUGAAAUUUGCCUGACUCUCAAACAUAUAACACACAUGUGAUACUCUAUCAAAUAGCUGAGAAAAAUUAUGUCUUCUCAGGUAGAAUGAGAAACAUUAGGGACAAAAAUGAGCAAGAAUCAAAAACAAGGUAAAUUGAACAAGGGAGAAUUCAACAAAUAAGGGAGAACUUAAGGGAGAAUAAAUGAGGGAGAGUGAAGAUGAGGGAGAUGAGAUUAAAUAAAAUUGUAGUUUCAGUUUAAGAGUUCUCUCAAAACUGAAAUAAAGAAAUGCACAAGUAAUGAUAUCAAAUAAUGGUGUAAAAGUAAUCAACAACUGUUUUAACUUUUACACACAAAAAGGUUUUAGUCUAAAUUCUGUAACUCUGGUGGUUAUACUUAUUUGUGUAUGUUUAUUUCACAGUUUUCAAAGUGUAGAGCAUUCACCAACAAUUAGUACAUGUUUAUUGAAGAAAUGAAUGUGGCAAUUAUGUUGAGAAAAUAUUUUGUGAUAUUUAGUAUUAUUUACACACUUUUGUUCUGUGAAAUAAAUACAAAUUUUUAAAACUUGAACAUCUUACAAAAUUGUCUUUAAAGAAGAUAAAAGUUUAUGGAUACAAAAUCUGUAUUGAGCAAUAUCACAAAAUUCCAUAUGUAGCAAUAAAAUUUUUACAGCAUUACAGUUUUACAGUAUCGUUACAGUAUGACAGUUUUACAGU